ACCGUAACUGAUGCUUUUCAUC
rnacentral:miRNA from 1 species